ensembl:lncRNA
CUUAAGGAAAAGCAGGGUGGUGGAAGCUAGCAGAGCAGAUACAAAGAGCUAAACUGCUGAAGAAGAAUGCCGCUCUGUAUUGUAGUAAGACAAGGCCAUUGGCUUGAAUUGUGUUACAGAAGCUCAUUAAAGCUACUAUGUACUUACUAAGCCACUGCUCUGUGUACUUUGGAAGCACUGCAAGAGAGAGAGGAGAAAUUCUGGAUGGAGGCCCAAUGUAUGGCAACAGAGCAGGAGAUGGAAGUGAUAAGAGGAAUACAUGCGGUGGGUCCCUACUGGGAGAAGAAGUUGUAGCUGAUUUUGUGCAUGUAAAAGAGUGCAGGCUUAAGUGGCUCUGGCUUUCCAGAGGGCACCUGCCUGCAGUGUCGGCAGUUCUUCCUGCACUUGAACCUGAACACAAGGCUUUACAUUGGAAUGGCUGUGAGAUUUCUCCUUCCUUCCUGCUAAUCUGUGUCUGCUAUUUCUGUGGAAAUGAAAGUACCUGAAACAAACCAAACGUUGGCCCCUACCCUGACAAAAUCAAAUUACUGUAAUGAAAUAGAAUUUUACAUCAUGAAUCACUAGCACCUAUCAGACCAUAACAUUGCAGCAGGCUGCUAAUGAGGCACUGCUGUUCAUCACCUGGUGUAAGUAUGCAGCUUCUUCAGUUAGAGAUUACUUCUAGAGAUGCCACUGUGAUCUCAGAAGCCCUUCAAGGAGCACCACCAUACAUAGGGGUCAAUUCACAAACAGGCAAAACAAAGCUGGGCUGUUUGCAUGCUGCAGUAACAUGUCCACAGUGCUCCUCUGUGUUCACAGAGAGUACAACAUGGGGCACAACUGGAAGCUGUGUUUAUGAGAG